UACGUAGGGGGCAAGCGUUGUCCGGAUUUAUUGGGCGUAAAGAGCGUGUAGGCGGCCAUACAGGUCAGCUGUGAAAACUCGAGGCUCAACCUCGAGACGUCGGUUGAAACCGUAUGGCUAGAGUCCGGAAGAGGAGAGUGGAAUUCCCGGUGUAGCGGUGAAAUGCGCAGAUAUCGGGAAGAACACCCGUGGCGAAGGCGGCUCUCUGGUACGUGACUGACGCUGAGACGCGAAAGCGUGGGGAGCAAACAGG
rnacentral:rRNA from 1 species